rnacentral:rRNA from 1 species
UGAGGAAUACAUCGGAAUCUACUUUUUCUUGGGGGAUAACGUACGGAAACUUACGCUAAUACCGCAAACAACCUACGGACUGAAAGCAGGGGAUCUUCAGACCUUGCUCGAUUGAAUGAGCCCAUGUCUGAUUAUCUAGUUGGCGGGGUAAAGGCCCACCACGGCGACGAUACGUACCUGGUCUCAGAGGAUGAUCACCCACACUGGAACUGAGACACGGUCCACACUCCUACAGGAGGCAGCAGUGGGGAAUAUUGGACAAUGGGCGCAAGCCUGAUCCAGCCAUACCGCGUGGGUGAAGAAGGCCUUCGGGUUGUAAAGCCCUUUUGUUGGGAAAGAAAUCCAGCUGGUUAAUACCCGGUUGGGAUGACGGUACCCAAAGAAUAGGCACCGGCUAACUUCGUGCCAGCAGCCGC